rnacentral:tRNA from 1 species
GGGCGAGUGGUGAAACUGGCAGACACGACGGACUUAAAAUCCGUUGGCCCCAACGGCCGUGAGGGUUCGAUUCCCUCCUCGCCCA